rnacentral:rRNA from 1 species
GUGGGGAAUUUUGGACAAUGGGCGCAAGCCUGAUCCAGCAAUGCCGCGUGCAGGAAGAAGGCCUUCGGGUUGUAAACUGCUUUUGUACGGAACGAAACGGUCCGGGUUAAUACCCUGGGCUAAUGACGGUACCGUAAGAAUAAGCACCGGCUAACUACGUGCCAGCAGCCGCGGUAAUACGUAGGGUGCAAGCGUUAAUCGGAAUUACUGGGCGUAAAGCGUGCGCAGGCGGUUUUGUAAGACAGGCGUGAAAUCCCCGGGCUCAACCUGGGAAUUGCGCUUGUGACUGGAAGGCUGGAGUGUGGCAGAGGGGGAUGGAAUUCCGCGUGUAGCAGUGAAAUGCGUAGAUAUGCGGAGGAACACCGAUGGCGAAGGCAAUCCCCUGGGCCUGCACUGACGCUCAUGCACGAAAGCGUGGGGAGCAAACAGGAUUAGAAACCCGGGUAGUCC